rnacentral:rRNA from 1 species
AAACGCUUGAAGUCAGUCUUGUACUCGGUCGUUCAGCCUUCGGGUGUAUUCGAUCUUGAACAGGCCAACAUCAGUUUUAGAUGUCGGAUAAGGGCAGAGGAAAUGUAGCAGUCUCGGCUGUGUUAUAGUCCUUUACUUGAUACGACGUCCGGGACU